UGUUUUCUGACCACCGGAGAUACACUGAAUCUUUCCGGAGGUUUCUCAGCCAUUCCACGGAACACCAGUGCAUGCAGGAAUUCAUGGACAAGAAGCUGCCAGGCAUAAUAUCAAGGUGAAAUUGAUCUUCAAAUUGUCUCCAAAGUUCAGGCUCAAUACCCAGGAGUUUGUAUCAACAAUGAAGUUGUUGAGCCAAGUGCUAAACAAAUUGCCAAAUACAAAGAGCUUGUAGCCAAGACAUCAAACCUUGAGAAUGUACAGUUUGCUUGGCAUAAUGAGACAUCAUCUGAAUAUCAAAGAAGAAUGUUGGAGAAAAAAGAGGUUCAAAAGUGGGACUUUAUUCAUAUGAUUCAGGUACCUGCCUAUGGUCCCUGUGGUGGAAAAUGUGGAGUGUGGCCCCUAAGGCACCAUGAGUCAUGCACAGAUGCUGUAUUAUAUAAAAGACAUCCCAGUUACCCUGAAAUUUUUCCAUAGUCUGUUAGGUACCAAUGCUAAGAUUCUCAUUAUUGUUGUGUCAGAACUACAAUAAGCUCCGAACAUACAUCCAAGGAAAAAGAGUAUAUUUCAGCUAAAACUGACUUGAUGAAAUCAGAGAACACAGGAAUUUCUGGAUAUUUGCAGAUGGAGUUUAAUAAAUAGGAAUAAAAGACUCAAUAAAAAAGACACACACACACACAUACACACACUCUCUCUCUCUCUCUCUCCCCAAAUGGAAGCAGCCAGACAAAAGCAAUGAAGAACAACUAAAACUAAUUAGGGAAAGAAAAAUAAAUUGAAAUCAGAAUUAAAUGACAACAUUUACUGGUCAGCUUAUUGAAAUUUAUGUUGCUUGAUGGAAAUCAACCUUUUCUCUGUGUUUCUAAAUAUCUAUUACAGAAUUACCCCAACUCAAGAGAUAGUCAUUUAGUGAUAACUAGUAGAAGUUCCUGAUAAUGGAGAUGAAAGAAAUUUGAUCUGGGGAUAAAAAAGAAGAGACAUAAGAACAAGAGAGUUGGAUUUCUUAAAAAAAUGUGGAGUGUCCCACACUAAAAUUGUAUCAAAGAAAUGUUUUUUCUGCAAAUGUUAUAGCCAAACAUCAAGUGGGAGUGUUGCUAUUUAAAAGGCAGCCUGUCUGGUUAAGGGAGAUGAGCCAGAAGGAGAUCACUGAAGCUUUCUGUCUGUCCUCUCCUUACCUGAGUAAGGAAGGAGGCAAGUCAUUGUGUAUUAUUUAAAUACAGUGAAAAAAAAAAUCUGGUUUACAUCAUGUUGAAAACAAAAGUAACACCAUAUGUGGUGCCCACCAAGAGCCAUUAUGAUAAUGCAUCAGUCGGGAAGUGCAUAAUUGCUCAGCUCAGAAAUGGCACCAAGUCACAUCACUGACACCAGCACAUUUUCUGCAAUUAGUGUUUGGUUCUUUUUUCUCUGCCAGGUUAAAAAUAAUAAUAAUGAUGA